rnacentral:lncRNA from 1 species
UGGAAUCACUCAAAUUGAUGACAAAUUUUUUUGCAGAAAAAUCACAUUGUGCAAAAGUCCCAUUUUCAUAAUUGAAUUACAAAAAAAAAAAAAAAAAAAAAAAAGAGCGUUUUCUUUUACUACUAAACGACACCAUCUCACUUAAUGAUGAAACGACAGAGUUCCAGUUUCAAGAAUUAAUUGCCCAUUAGUUUUUCUUCUUCCCUGACUUUUGGUUUGGCUUUCUUCUUCUGCUGUCUGAUUGAUCUGCUUCCUUUCUUUCCCCAGCUAUCACCUACGUAACAUUCCGUCGAAACAAUUCUUUGUGUUGAUUUUCAUUUCUUGAAAGUUUUAAGUUACUAUACCUAGUUUUGAGUUUGACUCUCGCUUAUACUUUGUGUUUUCUGGGCUUUUCA